rnacentral:rRNA from 1 species
CUUAUACGGCGCACGCAUUGGAGGUGUGAGGGUCUGCUUGUCAGUGCACUUUCUCAGAGUAUUCACCACGACCGGCAUUGCUGCCUUUCUACUAUGGCCAAACUGAUCAGGUUUGACUAUUAUUGUUGAGCUUGGUUGGGUCGGCAGGUGACUCUUUGGUUCGUAAUUAAUUAUUAUGGACCAUGAGUGUUACUAACCGGCUGUAGUGGAAUUGUGUAGUGUGUCGGAGAUGGCGGCUUCACGUGCGUGCUUUGUCCUUCGGGCAUUAAUGAGUCUGGUCGGCUUGUUACUAGCUUCGGUUAGUCUGCUGAUGGCUUGUUUAUGUCACGUUGGCAGUUGCGUAUGUGAGCUUUUGAAUGGGCCAAUAGUCUGUGGUGUAGUGGUAGACGAUCCACCUGACCCGUCUUGAAACACGGACCAAGGAGUUUAACAUGUGCGCGAGUCAUUGGGCGUUACGAAACCCAAAGGCGAAGUGAAGGUAAAGGUUCGGCUUUCAGUCCGAACUAAGGUGAGAUCCUGUUGCCUUGCUCAUACUUUCCAAGUUGCGAGCAGCGGGCGCAUCACCGGCCCGUCCCAUGACGUAGAC